UCGAGCGAGGUUUCGUGCCCUCGAGCGAGAAACAGUCGCCCGACUCUGUUCCCUCCUUCGCCCGCCGCCUCCAGGCCUUCGUCCCUUCACCGCCGCCGCCCUUCGUCCCUUCGCCGCCCCUGCUCCAUCCAUUCACCGUCGCCCUGGCACUGAUCCGGCGCGUAAAUCGCACAUCACAAGCGCCGGCCUCCAUUGAUCCGGCGCCGGUCCAGGAUCCGGCGCCGAUCCUGGUCAGGACCCGUCGCCGGAGACAUCCAGGAAAUCCAGGAUCCGGCCACACCUUUCACCAGCCGCCGCCGAGGAGCCCUACGCCGCAGCCAAGAUCCAAGAGGAGCAGCCGCCGCCGAGAUCCGAGAGGAGCAGCCGCCGCCGAGGUUCGAGAGGAGCUGGCCACCACGACCUCCCUCCCCAGCCGGCCGCCACCACCUCCUCCCCCACCCCCUCCUCCACGUGCCUGGCAUAGGUGGGUCUCAGCCUCCCUCCUACCUCCGUCCAAGGCUAGGAACUCCCCUCCCCUCCCGAUCUCCUCCCUUCGUCCAAGGCCACGAGCUCCCCUCCCCUACCCGAUCUGACGAAGAGAGGGCCAGGCCUUGCCACUCCGGUGUUCGAUGUGGCCAGAUCCAGCCGGGGGACUCGCUGCAGAGCCUCCAUGUCGGCGGAGCAGCAGCAGCCCAACAUAAGGAUUUAGAAUUAUGACAAGGAGUCAGGGACACAAUCAGAUUUAUACCAUCCGUUGUGAUGAUACAAGGAAAGUAAACAUAUAUGCAUAUUGUGUUCAAUGUGAUGAUACAAGCAAAAGCUGGCCUACGCCACCAACUGAUCUGCGGCAGCGUGAAAGGAGUGUUCAAAAGUAGCAGGAACAGUUGUUCCACUGCUGGUCGGAGGGAGAGCUUGGCAAGGGAGAUAGAGGGAGCUCUACAACCACGAUCUUGGCAUACAACCCGAUGGCAUCAUGCCCACUUAAGCUUCUUCCAUGUUCCAAUUCUUGCAUUUGUUGGUCUUUUACUGUCAGAGCUUACGAAAUCCAUUACAAAUUGAGGUGAGGCCAAGUCGUGAACUUGCUGAGACGUCUUUGCCUUGAAUUCUAAGGCUUGAAUCUAAAUGGAGGCGAGGCCAAGACUUGAACGAAUACUAAGGUUUGCAUCUUUUAUAAAGCUUGCCAGUUACUGUGUAGUUUCAGUUAACAUGAUAGUCACGCGUGGUGAAUCUCUUUUCUUGUCCAGAGAUUUCACGAAUCCAUUAUUGCCUACAGAACAACAUCCUAGGGCCCUCCCAGUUUGAUUCUCUUUAUUUUGCUAUAUCUCAACUAUUACAUACAUCAUUUAUGCUCUAAAGCUAACCAUUGUAUGCUUUGAUUGGUUGGAGCGGCAAGGUUUUCCAGAUCCUGGGAGUCUAUCCCUUCCAACAAUCUGGAGCUAGCAUAGUACAUCCGUACUCGCAGAGGGAAUAUGAUCUGAGCCGCCGUUACGUGUUUCUACUAAUUAAAGAACAACUAGGGUCACUUGAAAGAAGAUGAGCUGGAAGAAUUCCACGAUAGACCAUUGCUUCAAGGUUGGGAGCGGCCACAACAUAAUUGACAUCAAAACCAGAUCUGGGUCCUACAUAUCCGGUCUUGCUCAUAUCCUACAAUGGUUUACAGAUGGUGUGGCUCCUUGCACUAAGAUGAUCGAUCAGAGAUCUAGAGUCCUCAAUACAGAUCGAUGACGCCUCCUCAAGAUUCACUUCUUCGUAGCCCCCAACCUUGGUAUAGUAUAAAAACCUAUAAAUAAAUCAGAAGAAUAGGCAAUUAUCAGAUGCUUAUGUUUGUUGGUGUAGUAGCCCUCUUAAGUCCAGUCCUAGAGAAGUGUGUCGUAGAAGCAUAUCAGGAAGACAUGGACGUGGAUAUGCAUUAUGGUUGUAUUAUGGACGUGGAUAUAUAUUUUACAUAUUUUUCUGAGUUUGUUCUCAGGGGUGGGUCGUGGCUACCUGGUAACGGUCCAAUUUGGUUGUUUUAUGAUCUUGUCAAGAUAUUUCACACGAUGCGGAUUAACUAUCACCAGUUUUAGUUAAUGAUUCCUGA